CCGACAUCUCAACGCCUUCCUCCACAACCCCGCUGCCAUCGGCAUCCUCGCGUCUCCGCCGCCUUCCUCUCUCCCCAUCGUCAAAGUUCUUGAGAUGGGGCUCCGGUCGCCAUCUAGUUGUUGCAGCGAAGAAAUCGCCAAUCGACGGUCUUCCGCCGGUGCUUAACAAAAUCGUCUUCCAGAAACUCGACUCUGCUCCGGCCCGCCGACGGGUCCGAUCGGCUUUCAUGGAGCUUCAGCAACAGUUCGAUAACUGCUUAUUAAAGAUGGCUCCUCCUGGGAUCAAGACUGAGUGGCUUCAAGUUUCUGCAAUAUCUUCGUCACCGUCAAAGUUCCGUCCAAGGCAAAAUGCCUUGAUUUAUCAUCUCUACAUGUAGACGCCGAAUCCCCGUCUCCUCAUCCAGUUCACGAGUAACUCGAAUUUUCAAUCGAUGAUCUUAAUGUGGCUUCCGGAGAAGACGGCCCCAUAGCUUAAGCGGAGUCAAGAUUUUUAUUUCUUCAACUUUUGCUAAUCCUGGUGAACUGCAGUAGUUUGAGUGUUUCAUUGAGAGGAUUGAUGAUG